rnacentral:lncRNA from 1 species
GGACCGGAAGCAGGAUGCAGACCUGGGCCCCAACUAUGAUGCAGCAAUUUCUGUCAAAAACAUGACAGUGUGUCCUCAUCUACCUUAUUAAUUGGACCUGGCAUCACACAAGUUCUGGCUCUUCCCCCAAGACCAAAUUAUCAUGAAUCAACUCAGGACAUCAAGGCAACCACAGCAGAACAACUGAAAACACCCACAGAGAGGACUUCCACAACUGCGCAGAAAAUGGUAAGAAUUUUGG